rnacentral:rRNA from 1 species
AAUCCAUAGGUUAAUGAGGCGAACCGGGGGAACUGAAACAUCUAAGUACCCCGAGGAAAAGAAAUCAACCGAGAUUCCCCCAGUAGCGGCGAGCGAACGGGGAGGAGCCCAGAGCCUGAAUCAGCAUGUGUGUUAGUGGAAGCGUCUGGAAAGGCGCGCGAUACAGGGUGACAGCCCCGUACACAAAAGCGCAUGUGCUGUGAGCUCGAUGAGUAGGGCGGGACACGUGGUAUCCUGUCUGAAUAUGGGGGGACCAUCCUCCAAGGCUAAAUACUCCUGACUGACCGAUAGUGAACCAGUACCGUGAGGGAAAGGCGAAAAGAACCCCGGCGAGGGGAGUGAAAAAGAACCUGAAACCGUGUACGUACAAGCAGUGGGAGCACCCUUUGGGUGUGACUGCGUACCUUUUGUAUAAUGGGUCAGCGACUUAUAUUCUGUAGCAAGGUUAACCGAAUAGGGGAGCCGGAGGGAAACCGAGUCUUAACCGGGCGUUAAGUUGCAGGGUAUAGACCCGAAACCCGGUGAUCUAGCCAUGGGCAGGUUGAAGGUUGGGUAACACUAACUGGAGGACCGAACCGACUAAUGUUGAAAAAUUAGCGGAUGACCUGUGGCUGGGGGUGAAAGGCCAAUCAAACCGGGAGAUAGCUGGUUCUCCCCGAAAGCUAUUUAGGUAGCGCCUCGUGAAUUCAUCUCCGGGGGUAGAGCACUGUUUCGGCUAGGGGGCCAUCCCGGCUUACCAACCCGAUGCAAACUGCGAAUACCGGAGAAUGUUAUCACGGGAGACACACGGCGGGUGCUAACGUCCGUCGUGAAGAGGGAAACAACCCAGACCGCCAGCUAAGGUCCCAAAGUCAUGGUUAAGUGGGAAACGAUGUGGGAAGGCCCAGACAGCCAGGAUGUUGGCUUAGAAGCAGCCAUCAUUUAAAGAAAGCGUAAUAGCUCACUGGUCGAGUCGGCCUGCGCGGAAGAUGUAACGGGGCUAAACCAUGCACCGAAGCUGCGGCAGCGACACUGUGUGUUGUUGGGUAGGGGAGCGUUCUGUAAGCCUGUGAAGGUGUGU